GUUGUUUGUAUACCAUGUAUACAGAAAAGAGAAAUGAUUUAUUUAUCCAAUGGAAAAUCUUCUCUGAAAGAUUGUUAACAUUUAAUUCCACUAACUGCGUGCUUAGGUAUGCCAUUAUGGGGGAUUUAUAUUGGCAGAGGAAGACUUAGAAAUAGGGUAGAACCAUUGACCAGUGGCAGGAAAACUAGCAAUCCAAGUCAACGCACCCCUAUGAAUAGAGUUCAAACUUGUAACCUGAGUGUUAACAACUAACUACUCUUUUAUGUUGUUGUAAAAAAAUGAAAACAAAAAAAUAGAAAUAUAAUUGUAUAUAUAGAAAAGAAAAAAAGAGUUUGUCUAUCUAAUAGAAUAUAAAAAGGAAUCAUUGGAAGUCUAUUUCAAUCUUAAAAUUUCAAUAUCUUCAUCGGAAUGUUGCAAUAAAAUAAUUACCCUACAUCUUAAUAGUUAAACAAUCUUCUUCUCUACAUUAGUUACAUGUAUCAUGCCUAUCACUUUUCUACAUUUUUUUCAAUCAUCAUUGUAAGCGUUUUUUUUUUUAAGGAAGGGAAAUAACUCCUAAAAUCAU
rnacentral:lncRNA from 1 species